rnacentral:SRP_RNA from 1 species
CCGUGCUAGGCGGGGAGCCAGCGGUGCCCUGUAACCCGAGAUCCGCUCAUGCGGGGCUGAAUCCCCGCCGGAGGCCCGCGAGGCCCGAGGCAGCACUCGGCGCGGGGCGUUGAAGGUCGGGUCCUACGCGACGUCGGACCGCGAACCGGGUCAGGGCGGGAACGCAGCAGCCCUUAACGGUUUCCGGCGGGUGCCGUAGGGAUGCCUGGCUGGAGCCUGCCGCGCGGGAACGCGCUCGAGUCUCACGGCGUCGAUGGCGGGUGCACGG